rnacentral:lncRNA from 1 species
CUGCCACUCGGGGCGCAGCCGUUGAGAGUACAAAGGAAGUUGGGCGGUGGCUCAGCCGUUGAGAGUUCAAAGGAAGUUGGGCGAGGCGCCUCACGCGCUGGCUCCUGCAAGAUGCUGCGCGCCCGCGGGUGCCUCGGGUGCCUCGGGUGCCUCGCUAUGGGGGCCAGAGCUUGACCAUCAUCAGGUUUUGCUAGAGCAUCCUGGGUAGAAUCAUCUUGGAGGAUGGGUCCAGUCCUGUAUGAUUUGUAAAGGAAAGAGUCACCUUACCUGUGAAUGUGCCAUCCACCUCAUAAAUAUCCAUUUUUAAAACAAGCUACUUAAAAUCCACAACAGAGGACUCCCUGUGCCGCUAUCCCCCCUUGGGACAAUCCACUUCAAUCUGUUUGGCUGGCUUGCUUUGCUUUGCUAAAUAAACUGCUUCCAUGCUG